UACAGAGGGUGCGAGCGUUAAUCGGAAUUACUGGGCGUAAAGCGCGCGUAGGCGGCUUUUCAAGUCGAUUGUGAAAUCCCCGGGCUCAACCCGGGAACUGCGUCCGAUACUGGAAGGCUUGAAUUCGGGAGAGGGAUGCGGAAUUCCAGGUGUAGCGGUGAAAUGCGUAGAUAUCUGGAGGAACACCGGUGGCGAAGGCGGCAUCCUGGACCGGCAUUGACGCUGAGGCGCGAAAGCCAGGGGAGCAAACGGG
rnacentral:rRNA from 1 species